CUCAAAUGAUGUCAGUAAUUCGAAACUCCCUCAGCAUCCACAUUAGUAGCUGCCCAGACAACGUAUGACAAGAGGGUGGCUCAGUUGGAAAUAAAGCCAAACAGUGAAGUGAUGAACAAGCUACUGAAAACCAUCAGGAAAUAACUCCCCAUUUUGAAUGCUCAACCAGAUACUGAUAGUUAUUUUCACCUCUUCAUCCGAGUCAAAGAGAUGUCUACAAAAGUAUUCCUUCAAUUUUUGGGAAAAGAUGGAAAUAGCUUAGUGCCAACAUUGAAUGGCAAAUGAAUAAACAACACAUCCAAUUUACAAUUGCCUUUAGGGUGGCUUGUAACUUGUAAGGUCUAGCAUUGUUGUAUUGCAUUAAAAUUUCUUUCCAAAAGAA